rnacentral:rRNA from 1 species
AUGGUCCUGCCGGAGCCAGUGAAGUCGCUACCGCCGGAGCGGGAGACCACCAUCGACCUCACGACAUGGGACCUCUCGAUGAUCUCCUUGGAGUACAACCAGAAGGGCAUCCUCCUGCCGAAACCUCCCACCACCGCAGGACAGGGACACCACGCCGUCGUGGAACGUCUCGCCUCGUCCUUGGCGCGCGCCCUCGGCCGUUUCUACCCCUACGCCGGCCGCCUCGCCGUCACGCCGGGGAGCAAUGCCGGCGGGGAGAGCAUCGUAAUUUCGCUCUGCUGCAGCAUGGAGGGUGCUGAGUUUGUCCAUGCCGUGGCGCCCGGUGUCACCGUGGCCGACGUUAUCAGCACGCCGUUGCGUUUGCGUACACCGGGGGUGCAGGUUCGGUCCUUCUUCUCGUUGGACGGGCUGCACGGCGUGGAUGCCGCCGUGGGCUCCCACCCGCUCCUAGCCGCCCAGGUCACUGAGCUGGCCGACGGUUUCUUCGUGGCCAUGUCGCUCAGCCACGUUGUCGCUGAUGGGACGGCCUUCUGGCACCUCUUCAACACCUGGUCGGAGAUCAGCCGUCGUGGGUGUGACGGUGCCAUCUCCUCGCCUUUGCCGGUGCACCGGAGGUGGUUCCUCGACGGCUGCCCUGUCCCGGUUCCUCUACCCUUCUCCAGGCAGGAGGACAUCCCCGUCAACCGGCGUACGGACGAGCAUCCAUCAUCUGUGAAGGAGGAAUGCUUCCUCAAUUUCCCCGCUGAGAUGAUAAAGAAGCUCAAAGCCAAGGCAAACGCCGAGAUGCCUGGCACUAGCAUCUCGUCGUUGCAGGCCCUGCUUGCGCACCUGUGGAUCGCGGUGUGCCGAGCCAGGAGGCUGGCGCCGGACCAGAGGACAGCGUACGUCCUCGCUGUCGGAUGCCGGGGCCGCGUGGAUGGCCUGCCGGCGGCCUACGCGGGCAACGCUGUCGCACGCGUCGAGGCGGUGUCGACCGCCGGCGAGAUCCUAGAAAGGGGGCUGGGCUGGGCCGCGUCGCUGCUGAACAGAGCGGUGGCGUCGUUCGACGUGGCAAGCGAACGGGGCAGACACGCAUCAUGGCGGCAGAGGCCUAGCUUUCUGCGCGUGCCGUCGCGCCCGACGGCCACGGCAAUGAUGGUGGGGGGCUCGCCGUGGUUCGACGCGUACGGGAACGAUUUCGGGUGGGGGCGGCCGGUGGGCGUGCAGAGCGGCCCAGCGAACAAGAUGGACGGGACGGCGACGGCCUUCGAGGGCAGGUCCGGCGGAGGGAGCAUGGCUCUGGAGGUGUGCCUCCCGCCGGAGGUGCUCGCGAGGCUCGUGGCUGACGAGGAGUUCAUGCGCCACACCGCACAGUAA